rnacentral:rRNA from 1 species
UACGUAGGCAGCGAGCGUUGUUCGGAGUUACUGGGCGUAAAGAGUGCGUAGGCGGUUUUCUAAGUAUGGUGUGAAAUCUCCCGGCUUAACUGGGAGGGUGCGCUAUAGACUGUGGGACUAGAGUGUGGGAGAGGAAAGUGGAAUUCCUGGUGUAGCGGUGAAAUGCGUAGAUAUCAGGAGGAACACCGGUGGUGUAAACGGCUUUCUGGACCAUAACUGACGCUGAGGCACGAAAAGCGUGGGUAGCAAACAGG